UUUCUUUUUGUGACGCACUAAGUCAUCACUUAUAGAUAUACCCUUUUCGUGAUUGCAUUUAAGCUAUCACUAAUAUUUUAAUAUAAGAAAUAAUUAAAACAAUAUUUUAUGACGGUCGUGACAAUCAUUAAAAAGUUAGAUUUUUGUGACGACUUUUAUUUGCAAUUAUAAAAAGAAGGUAUUUUGUGAUGGAAUUUUCAAGCCGUCACAAAACAAUACAAUAUAUGAUGGCUCUUAGUGAUGAUUAAUUUUACCAUCAUUAUAGAGUAUUUGUGACUGCCAUUGCAAUCACCAAAUCUUAUUUCAAAGUAAUUUUGUUUAGUAAGUCAACUCACAUAUGUUUCCUUUUAUAUUUUGUUUUAAAAUUAUAAUCAUGAUCUGGACUUUGGUGUAGUGGUAAUACUCGUUAUUUAGUUUGCAAAUGGGAAAGGGUUCGAAUCCUACAAGUAUCAUUUGAUACAAUUAAUAUAGUGAAAUAAAUUAUACGUAAAUAGAGAUUCACGUUCUUACAUUUGAUCCCUAAAGUCUUGUUUUUUUUGUGAUGACUUUGACAAUCACAAUAGAUUAUAUGUUAAUGUGAUUGUAUUAAUCAUCACAAAAACACUAAGCGUUUACGUGAUUGCCAAAACCAUCACGUAAAACUUUUCAUGAUGGGCGUAUACAAGACGGCCAUUGUGAUGCUUAAAGCCAUCACGUAUACCUUUCGUGAUGAUUUUUCUAUUUUUUGUGAUGGAUUUAGGCCAUCACAAAUGACCAUUUUUUUAGUAGUGAAAUAAUUAUAAUUUCUUAUUAUUAAUAUAAAUUAAAUAAUUUUAAAGUUGUGGUUGUAAACUUGAGGUUGAAUAUAAAUUUUUAUAUUGAUAAUUUAAAAUUGAUGAAAAAUAUUCCAUUAAUAUAAUAAUAUUACAUUAUUAGAUACUAAAAGUUGAGACCCAAAAAAGUGUACUCGUUUUCUCACCUCGCAACUUAGUGCAAACAUUAUAAAUUGAAAUCACAUUUAUGAAUUCUACUUUUCUUUUAUAAAUGGUAUUCAAAGUAAAUAAUUCCAGUUAAUAAUGAAAAACAAAAUGGAUAUUUUAAUUACGUUAAUAUUUAUCAUUGUAUUGAUUAAAUUUUUUGAAAAAUAAUAUAAAUUUUAAUUUUAAAAAUAUCUUAAAUUGAUUUUAAAAAUUCAACGAUAAUUAAUUAAUAUGAAACAAAUAGAGUAUAUAUCAUUUAUUAUAUUUAUAUAUAAAGGUAAAAUAAUAAUAGCAUAGUUUAAAAAAAAUACUUUGUCUCCCCUUCUCUCAUUCUAAACUCACAAUCAAUGGAACAUAUAAUUAAAAAUAUCAUCACAAAUUAAACAUAACAAAAGAAAACUAUAAUAUCUUCUCAUGCCAUUCUUUCCUCUCUUAUAUUUUUCCUUUCAAUUCCAUCACAUCCUAUCCUUGCAAACUCACAAGUACAUCAUGUUAUAUAUGAUGAUAAACCAUAUAUAAGAAUAAGAUUCAAUAUAGAUUAAUUUUUCAGAACCAUAAUUAUAUUAAAAUACUUUCAAAGAAAAUUUAUAGAAACAAAGAAACACUUAAUUUUUUUCAUAAGACAUAAAUUGAUCGAAACGUACAGACACACACAUAUAUAUACACGUAUAUGUAUAUAUAUAUGAAAGACACUUUCAUGACAACUUUAGCUAUCAUAUGCCUAGCCAUAGAUACCCAUGAAAUUGCUACUUAGCACGAUAAGAAGCAUUUCAUUUUAUUUAUUUAUUUAGGCUAAUUAAUUUCAUGCAUGCAUGCAUAUGCAUGAUUUGAUUUAAGAUUCUGAUCGAUAUAUAUUUAUUUCUUGGCGCGCGCCGUUAAUUGAAUCAUCAACAAUCAAAGUAACAGAAGCAUUUCCAACUGCCUCGUUUGUGACAUGCUCCAUGUUUUGCACCUUCCCAGCUCUGGCACUGCUUAUCACAGUGCUGUGUGUUUCCGCACUUCCCGGACCAUGUCAAGCUUGCUUUUUCACACAGUUUUCCCUCAACACCUGCACAAUUAAUUAAUUAAUAUACCAAAAGUUAAUUUAAGAAAUUCAAACACACUAGUAUGCAUGCAUACACUAAACAUUAAUCUUAAAAAAAUACAAAAUUAACACUGAUACGUACGAUCAUUUAUAUAUUAAGUUUUACUUUAUAUAUUGUGAAAAAAUUGCAAACUAACCAAAAUAAAAAUAAAAAUUCCUCGCAUGAUUAUGAAUAUUGAUCAGAAUAGUGCUGAUGGAAUAUUGCACCAACAUGCAUGCAUAUAUAUAUAUAUAUAUAUAUAUAUAUAUAUAUAUAUAUAUAUAUAUAAAACAAUAAAUGCACCGGAUGUAAAAUCCAGGCUCAUCGAACAUAGUUCGACCACAGUUCAUAUAUAUAAAUAUAUAUAUAAAAGCGAGUAAACGCACCAGACCGAAGUCUAGGCUCAUCGAACAAAGUCCGACACACAGUUGAUAUACGUAGAAGGGUGUGUGCAAAGAUGAAGAGAAAGACUCUAAAGUGUAUGAGAAGGCUUACAGCUGACUGAUAAAAAGGGCUUCUAUAUCUUUAGAGUGGGUAAACACUGGGCUUUUGUGGGUACAAAAGAGGCUAUAUAUGAGCUCACAGGUGUUUGAAAGUGGGAAAAUACACUGUAUGGCGAGUGCAGAGCAAAUUGUGCAGGGUUUCCCCGUCUUUUUUCUCUUAAAAAUCAGCACCCCAAGCCUCUUAUUUAUAGGCAAAAGGUGNNNNNNNNNNNNNNNNNNNNNNNNNNNNNNNNNNNNNNNNNNNNNNNNNNNNNNNNNNNNNNNNNNNNNNNNNNNNNNNNNNNNNNNNNNNNNNNNNNNNUAUAUAUAUAAAUAUAGGUCGAAAUUAAAGAUAAGUAGUCACCUGUGUUAGCAAGGAGGAAAAAAAUUAGAGAGACUGUAAUGAAGGUAGUUGGGCUAAAUUUUAUUGCCAUGUUUAAUCUUCUUGAAUUGAACUAAACCAUUCAUUCAUUUUGUGGGGAAUUUAUAGUAAAUGAUUCUUGGCUAAGUCCGUGUUUGAUUUAUAUUUUUAAUUUACACGUGACGGACAAUAUUCUUAGGACGUGACAAAUACGAGAAUAGUUGCCACUACCCUAUAUAAUACUCCCUCCGUUCUUAAAAGAUUAUCGUUUUAUAAAAAAUAAUUUAUUUCAAUUUAUUUGUCGUUUAUAACUAUCGAAGAGAAUAAAUUAUUUACUUUCUUUUAUCACCCCUAGUCCUACGUACCUUCUCUCAUUUUUUCAAGAAAUUCUCUCCCUUAAUAAUUUUUAACUUCCCAUAAAAGAGUAGUGAUGAAAUUUCAAACAAAUUUUAAUUAUUAAAUGAUAGUGAGAUAAUAUAUAUAUAUAUAUAUAUAUAUAUAUAUAUAUAUAUAUAUAUAUAUAUAUAUAUAUAUAUAUAUAUAUAUUAUACAGUCAGAGUCACGCCUCCAUUGUUGAAAUUUUGUAGCAGUGUCCGCAAAAUGACUUGUUCCAUGCAUGAUAGAAAGCAUUUAUGUUUGUGAUCAUAUAAUGUUGGUCUAGAAAUCUUUUUGCUGCCUAAUUUCUCUCUCAUAUACGUACAAAUAAUCAUAGAAAUGCUUCCAUUAUUGAAGUUUGGUAAAACUAAUUAUUUCUCUACUGUAUUUGACAUCUUUUAUUUAUUUUUUUAUUAAAAUUUUAAUUUAUUCAACUAAUAUUUUAAUUUAAUUAAAAUAAUGAAAUUAAAUAGACGUUAACUUACUUCAAUUUUUUGACAAAACUAAUAAUUUUCUUACUUACUCGACAUAUUUUAUUUAUUACAACACUAAAAUUCAUUUAUGUGAAAACCAUCACAAUUUGCAUGACUUGAUAAAAGAAUCAAAUGACAAAAAUUCAAAUACGUGAAAACGGAAGUGGUUAACAUAAAAUUUAUUUUUGGGUAAGUUGGUCAAUUAAUUAAUAAAAUAUUGACAUACAAACGAUGUUCUAUAUGUAUCAAUAUUUUAUUAAUUAAUUGACAAAUUUACUUAAAAAUAAAUUUCACACUGACCGAAUCCCGUAAAAACCAUCACAAUUUCCAUAUGCAGGAGUUAGGACCCACUAGUGGGUAGUCAUAUCUAGCCUUGCAAGCCACGUGUGUGGACCCCCAUAAUUUCAUUUUUCAAAUAACUUGCUUUUCUUGACAAUCUAUGGGGAAGGGGAAGGGGAAGGAAGCGGAAAUUUUUGGGUUUUUUAGUAGAGAAGUGAUUAUGAUUUUCUAUUGAGUUUUUUUUAGAUGGAUAUAAAAAUUAGAUUAAAAUAUAUUAAAAUUUUAUUUAUUUAUAUUUUUAAUUUUUAAUAUAAAAAUUAAAAUAUAAAUAAAUAAAAUUUAAAUAUAUUUAUAUUUAAUUUUUAUGUUCAAUUUUACUUAAUAAAAUAAUCAAAUGACAAAAAAUUCAAAUAUGUGAAAACCAUCACGAUUUGCAUAUGUAGGACCCACUAGUGGGUAGUCAUAUCUAGCCUUGCAAGUCACAUGUGUGGACCGCCAUAAUUUCAGUUUUCAAAUAACUUGCUAUUCUUGACAAUCUUUUGGGAUGGGAAAGAAAGGGGAAUUUUUUUGAUUUUUAGUGAGGAAGUGAUUGUGAUUUCUCACUUACCUUUUUUUACUGGACAUCAAAAUUAGAUAUAAAAUUAAAAAUUAAUGUAUUUAAAUUUUAUUUAUUUAUAUUUUUAUCUUUUAAUAAAUAUCAAAAUAAAACUAAAUAAAAUUUAAAUAUAUUUAUAUUUAAUUUAUAUAUCUAAUUUUUAUGUUCACCAACAAUUUUUAUUUCUCAAUAGUACAUCCACGGAAAUUGCAUGUUUCUCGUUAAUGAUUUUGGAGUGACAGAAGUGGUGGGCCUUUUUUCUAGUCUAUGUUAUGCAGAGUUGGAUGGAUUGUUUGGUUAAAUACGCAAUUUUGUAUAGUGUUAUUUAAAUAUUUUUUUAAUUUUGUCAUAUUUUUACACUAAAAUAAAAUAUUUAAUAUUUAUAUUUCUGUUCAAAUGUGGAGUGUUGAACACAAAUAAUUCAAAAUAAAAUAAAGGAUAAAAUGAAGAGUGUGUAACAUAAUUUCUAGUACAAUGGAGUACUCCAUACGUUUCAAAAUAACUGUUCAGUUUUAAUUAUUUUGAUCAAAUUGAUUAUUUUUAAAAUUAAUAAUUAAGCACAUAUAAAUAUUUUUUAAAAUUAUAAAAAUUGAAAUUGAUAAUAAAUCAUAUGUAGUUUGUUAGUGUCAAUCCCUUCACCUAUAUUUUAGAUACAAAAAAUUUAAAAAUAAUUAAUUCGACCCAAAAAAUAAAAUAAAUCAAAACUGGUCAUUGAUGGUGGGAGGAUUGGGGGGAGUAUUACAUAUAGAACUUCCACUCUCAUCUCACGUCAUGCAAAGAUAAGGAUCCGGUUAGUAUAAAUACUCCGCCAUCAGCCUGGUGAUAUAGCGGUGUAUUUAAUUAUUUUUUUAUUACGUGAUGUGAUUACGUGUUGAGGGGGAAAUUGUUGAGGUAGUAAAGUCUUACAUGCAGCAUGACACAUGCUUUUGAAUAACAAUGACAUGCAUAUUGAAAUAAAUAUAUAUUGAAUUAAACCAUUUUGUGGGGUAUUUAUUUGUUUCACCGUUCAUGCAUGAUAUAUAUUGAAGCAUGUAUUUUAGAAGAAUCUUAAAAUAUCAAUUCUCAAUUUCAAGUUGAAUUUAAUUUAGAAGAGAAACUUGUCGCGGAUCAAGAAUUAAGACCAUCUAUAAUGAAAUAUGAUGCUAACAUAGAGAAAAUAUUGGUCAAGAAUAUUUACUUAAGGGCCCUCAUGAUCAACCAAUGAUUUGUUAAUAUUAUUAUGAUUAGUUAAUAUACUGAUUAGUAUAUGUUUUUUUUAAUUUAAUUUUAACAAAAAAUUUAGUUAAAAUACGCCUUUGUUUGGAAAAAUUUCUGAAUGAUCCGCUCAUGUGUAAGGGUAAUAUAACAAUAUAUAGUAUAUUUUAAAAAUAAAAAUAAUAUGUCCUCCAUUCCCUCAUUCAAAACUCAGAAACAAUAAAAAAUAUAAUUAAAAUUCUCAUCAUUUUUCUUAUUUUUUAAAACACACAAAUAUAACGAAAAAAAAAUUAUAAUCCAUUCCCCUCUUAUUCUUACCCUUCACAUUCCAUUCCAUCCCAUCCCAUCCCAUCAAACUGACAAGCACAACAAGUUAUAUAUGAUGAUAAUCAUAAGCGUCAAUAUAGAUUAAUUUUUCAGAAGUAUUACACGCCAUAAUUAUAUUGAAGUAUUUUCAAAGAAAAUUUAUAGAUUAAUCAAAGAAACACUUAAUUUUUUCAUAAGACAUAAAUUGAUCGAAAAGUACAGACACACAUAAUAUAUAUAUAUAUAUAUAUAUAUAUAUAUAUAUAUAUAUAUAUAUAUAUAUAUAAGACACUUUCAUGACAACUUUAGUUAUCAUAUGCCUGCCUAGUUAUAGUGACCCAUGAAAUUGCUACUUAGCACCAUAAGAAGCAUUUCAUUUUAUUUAUUUAUUUAGCACGAUAAGAAGAAAUUUAUUUCUUGGCGCCGUACGUUAAUUAGAUCAUCAGCAAUCAAAGUAACAGAAGCAUCUCCGAUCGCGACAUGCUCCACGUUUUGCAGAUUCCGCGUUCUGGCACUGCUGUUCACAGUGGCCUGAGUCUCCGCACCUCCCGGACCAUGUCACGCUUAGUUUUUCACAUAAUUUUCCCUCAACACCUAUAUUUGUUUCUGCACAAUUAAUUAAUAAAUAUACCAAAAGUUAGUUUAAGACAGUCAAACACGUACAUGUAUUUAAUACUAAUUAAUAUUGUUGAUUAUGAAUGCAUGCACUAAAAAUUAAUCUUUAAAAAAAAUACAAAAUUAGCACUGGUAGGUACGAUCAUUUAUAUAUAAACUUUUACUUUAUAUAUUGUAAAAAAAUUGCAAAUUAAAGAUAAGUAGUCACCUGUGUUAGCAAUGAGGAAAAAAAUUAGAGAGAUUGUAAUGAAGGUAGUUGGGCUAAAUUUUAUUGCCAUGUUUAAUCUUCUUGAAUAUAUUGAACUAAACCAUUCAUUCAUUUUGUGGGGAAUUUAUAGUAAAAGAUUCUUGGCUACUAGGUUUGAUUUGCAUGUUUAAUUUAGAUGUGAAGACGCGUGACACAAUACAAGAAUGGAGUAUAUAGUUGGCACGGGCCCUAUAUAAUAUAGUAUAUCCGGCCAGCUGCAAAAUGAAAGCACUUUGCUGACU
rnacentral:lncRNA from 1 species